CUAAAAGAACAAAGCUUAACUCUGCAGUAAGAACUACGCUUUAAACAGGGGCAUGUAAAAAAAUGUAAAAUCCCAUUUGAUAACAUUAUGCAAUAACCAAGGCACACAUAGCAUCUGGACCUGCAUGCUGUGUUGGUAAGUGUCUGCCUGCUCAGAGGGACACAAGUUUCCUGGCACUGACACAAGCGAUAGCUCAGAGCUUUUUGAAGAUUAAGCCUUGGUUCCCUGUGCUGGCAUUCUCUGUAAAGGUCAGUUAGCCUUUCCUGUGUCCCCUGUCAAACUCACUGACACUGAGCCCCUUUCCUUUGCUAAAAAUGAUCCAAGCCUUGGGAUAUGCUCUUGACUAAGGAGCUAUUUUGGUUUCUGAGCCAGCUGUUUCACAGGUGCAAAUCGAUGUAGUGCUCUUUUGAAGUGAGAAAAACCAAC
ensembl:lncRNA